rnacentral:rRNA from 1 species
CCUACGGGAGGCAGCAGUGAGGAAUAUUGGUCAAUGGGCGGGAGCCUGAACCAGCCAAGUCGCGUGAGGGAAGACGGUCCUAUGGAUUGUAAACCUCUUUAGGCGGGGAGCAAUGCCGGGCACGUGUGCCCGGAGGGAGAGUACCCGCAGAAUAAGCAUCGGCUAACUCCGUGCCAGCAGCCGCGGUAAUACGGAGGAUGCGAGCGUUAUCCGGAUUUAGUGGGUUUAAAGGGUGCGUAGGCGGAGUUUUAAGUCAGCGGUAAAAUGUCCGGGCUCAACCCGGGCCGGCCGUUGAAUCUGGGGAUCUUGAGUGGGCGAGAAGUAUGCGGAAUGCGUGGUGUAGCGGUGAAAUGCAUAGAUAUCACGCAGAACUCCGAUUGCGAAGGCAGCAUACCGGCGCCCGACUGACGCUGAGGCACGAAAGCGUGGGGAUCGAACAGGAUUAGAUACCCCUGUAGUC